rnacentral:rRNA from 1 species
CUGGCCCUACGGGGCGCAGCAGUGAGGAAUAUUGGUCAAUGGCCGGGAGGCUGAACCAGCCACGUCGCGUGAGGGAAUAAGGCCCUAUGGGUCGUAAACCUCUUUUGUCAGGGAACAAAGGCGGGGACGUGUCCCCGGAUGAGUGUACCUGAAGAAAAAGCAUCGGCUAACUCCGUGCCAGCAGCCGCGGUAAUACGGAGGAUGCGAGCGUUAUCCGGAUUUAUUGGGUUUAAAGGGUGGGCAGGCGGUCUUGUAAGGCAGCGGUCAA